CUGACUGACCGAUAGUGAACCAGUACCGUGAGGGAAAGGCGAAAAGAACCCCGGCGAGGGGAGUGAAAAAGAACCUGAAACCGUGUACGUACAAGCAGUGGGAGCACGCUUAGGCGUGUGACUGCGUACCUUUUGUAUAAUGGGUCAGCGACUUAUAUUCUGUAGCAAGGUUAACCGAAUAGGGGAGCCGAAGGGAAACCGAGUCUUAACUGGGCGUUAAGUUGCAGGGUAUAGACCCGAAACCCGGUGAUCUAGCCAUGGGCAGGUUGAAGGUUGGGUAACACUAACUGGAGGACCGAACCGACUAAUGUUGAAAAAUUAGCGGAUGACUUGUGGCUGGGGGUGAAAGGCCAAUCAAACCGGGAGAUAGCUGGUUCUCCCCGAAAGCUAUUUAGGUAGCGCCUCGUGAACUCAUCUCCGGGGGUAGAGCACUGUUUCGGCAAGGGGGUCAUCCCGACUUACCAACCCGAUGCAAACUGCGAAUACCGGAGAAUGUUAUCACGGGAGACACACGGCGGGUGCUAACGUCCGUCGUGAAGAGGGAAACAACCCAGACCGCCAGCUAAGGUCCCAAAGUCAUGGUUAAGUGGGAAACGAUGUGGGAAGGCCCAGACAGCCAGGAUGUUGGCUUAGAAGCAGCCAUCAUUUAAAGAAAGCGUAAUAGCUCACUGGUCGAGUCGGCCUGCGCGGAAGAUGUAACGGGGCUAAACCAUG
rnacentral:rRNA from 1 species